rnacentral:lncRNA from 7 species
GUGUUUUCUUUCAGAUCCUGCUACUGCUUCAAGAGAAGCCAGGCAGCUGACUAAUUGCUGAUUCAAGAUUUUCCUCAGAGGACAGUCUCUUACCUGUGGAAAAUCUGCUGGUCCUCUGCUUCUUCUACUGCAGCAGACAGCAUGGAGACAUGGAGGGGACCCAACUGUGACAGAACAUGAUGUGAGUGACUCUGGACUCCAUCUGUGCCAGUCUUAGCCCUAUGGAUGAAAUGACUCAGGAUGCUGGCAUUGCUGUAAAAGAAGUUUCCUUUUUCCAAGCAGCUUGUGUCCCCCAUGUUAGUGUUUGCCAUACCCUUAGGUUUCAAUUCUGUGACCAAUUAAGCCAAUUUGAGCACAGACAUAAUCACAAUUUAAUAUUUUGUUUUGGCUUCCCCACUGCCUCUCUUAUGCUAUCUCUGAAACUCUACAGAGAGCCCUAAUAGG